rnacentral:rRNA from 1 species
UACAGAGGUCUCAAGCGUUGUUCGGAUUCAUUGGGCGUAAAGGGUGCGUAGGUGGCAUGGUAAGUCGGAUGUGAAAUCCCGGGGCUCAACCCCGGAACUGCAUUCGAUACUGUUGAGCUAGAGUACUGGAGAGGAGAUUGGAAUUUACGGUGUAGCAGUGAAAUGCGUAGAUAUCGUAAGGAAGACCAGUGGCGAAGGCGGAUCUCUGGACAGUUACUGACACUGAGGCACGAAGGCCAGGGGAGCAAACGGG